rnacentral:misc_RNA from 1 species
AAGUCGUAACAAGGUUUCCGUAGGUGAACCUGCGGAAGGAUCAUUCAAGAGUACAUAACAAGUACAAGACACUGUGAAGCAAAGUAUUUAGUUUUUUGUUGGGGGGUUUAUACUCCCAAGAGAAGAAGCAAAACAUUUUUUUUUACCAAUCAAACUAUAAAAAGAAAAAAAACUUUUAGCAACGGAUCUCUAGGCUCUC